rnacentral:rRNA from 2 species
GCACUGAUUUCAACAAUGAAGCGAGUGGCGAACUGGUGAGUAACACGUGGGAAAUCUGCCCAGAAGCAGGGGAUAACACUUGGAAACAGGUGCUAAUACCGUAUAACAACAAAAUCCGCAUGGAUUUUGUUUGAAAGGUGGCUUCGGCUAUCACUUCUGGAUGAUCCCGCGGCGUAUUAGUUAGUUGGUGAGGUAAAGGCCCACCAAGACGAUGAUACGUAGCCGACCUGAGAGGGUAAUCGGCCACAUUGGGACUGAGACACGGCCCAAACUCCUACGGGAGGCAGCAGUAGGGAAUCUUCCACAAUGGACGAAAGUCUGAUGGAGCAAUGCCGCGUGAGUGAAGAAGGGUUUCGGCUCGUAAAACUCUGUUGUUAAAGAAGAACACCUUUGAGAGUAACUGUUCAAGGGUUGACGGUAUUUAACCAGAAAGCCACGGCUAACUACGUGCCAGCAGCCGCGGUAAUACGUAGGUGGCAAGCGUUGUCCGGAUUUAUUGGGCGUAAAGCGAGCGCAGGCGGUUUUUUAAGUCUGAUGUGAAAGCCUUCGGCUUAACCGGAGAAGUGCAUCGGAAACUGGGAGACUUGAGUGCAGAAGAGGACAGUGGAACUCCAUGUGUAGCGGUGGAAUGCGUAGAUAUAUGGAAGAACACCAGUGGCGAAGGCGGCUGUCUAGUCUGUAACUGACGCUGAGGCUCGAAAGCAUGGGUAGCGAACAGGAUUAGAUACCCUGGUAGUCCAUGCCGUAAACGAUGAGUGCUAAGUGUUGGAGGGUUUCCGCCCUUCAGUGCUGCAGCUAACGCAUUAAGCACUCCGCCUGGGGA